CAGAGUCUGGGGGCAUAGUAACUAAAGGCUGCCUCUCCAUGCCUCUUGGUCCCCCUCAGGUUCUCUAGCCGGCUAGUCCAGAGUCUGGGGGCAUAGUAACUAAAGGCUGCCUCUCCAUGCCUCUUGGUCCCCCUCAGGUUCUCUGGCAGACUAUUCCAGAGUCUGGCGGUAUAGUAACUAAAGGCUGCCUCUCCAUGCCUCUUGGUCCCCCUCAGGUUCUCUGGCAGACUAUUCCAGAGUCUGGCGGUAUAGUAACUAAAGGCUGGCGGUAUAGUAACUAAAGGCUGGCGGUAUAGUAACUAAAGGCUGGCGGUAUAGUAACUAAAGGCUGGCGGUAUAGUAACUAAAGGGUGCUUGUCUCUUCAGACAGGAACUGCUUUUUUAUUAUUGAUGGCUAUUGAAUGACCUCUGAAGGUACAGUUAAAAGGUAUCCCAAACAAUAAGGGGAUUUGCUGAACCUAUAUUGUACAGGAAAUAUUCAGUUAUAAUGAUUUUGUCUUAGUUAAGAUUAAAUUGUCAUCCAGUAAAUAUUGGUAUUGGAUUAAAAUGUUAAAAAUGUAAAUUUUAAUAAAUAAUAAAUUGUCUUCCAGUAAACUUUGAUUAAAAUGUCCAAUAUCCCUGUCCACUUGGAAAUUCUAUAAGAAUUAUGUGAAGGCCAAUUAGACAAUGGGCUGAUCGCAUUCUUUCAGGGGUUUUUAGUCUCUAAAUAUCCCCUAUUUCUAAUGAGUCCAUAAUAUUUUUGAUAAUUAGUUGGUAAUUAAUAUCAUCACACCUUUUGAGUUCCUUUGUCCAUGAAAGAAAUUUUUCACCAACCCAUUUAUUUUUCCAUGCAACUUCAUCUCAGGAUGUAGAUUAUGUUUCCUGUAAAUAAUAUAUGUUAUAUUCCUUUUCUUUCAGCCGCAUAAAGACUGAUCUUUUCCUAUAAUGUCUUAAACCGUUACAAUUCUAACCGGCUACACUUAUUGUAGCCUUUACUGUAACUAGACACUAUUCUCAGUCUAAAUGGACCAUAAUUAGUGCUUGUAAACUUACUGCCAUCAGAGGUAUUAUGAAGGUCAAAAAUAGAGAUUUCAAAUGUCUGAUGUUUAGAAUCCAAGAAACAGGUUCUAAUGACAUUUGUUUGGUUCUGUUUGCCUGUGAGCCAAUGCCACAGAUGUUAGAAAAUUUUGUCAAGAUAUUACGUGUGUAGUAGAUCUGUGUAGGUUGAUGUGUAUGAUCGUGGAUGUGAUUUAGUGAGUGUGUGUACGAUGUCUGGAUUAGAGGAAGACUACAAUGUGUGAUGUCUGAAAUAAAGAAUAACCCAGCCAGUUUGCAUGGUUGAGUGUCUGUGUGUGUACGAUGUCUGGAUUAGAGUAAGACUAUAAUGUGUGAUGUCUGAAAUAAAGAAUAACCCAGCCAGUU